AACUUGGCAGAGAUGCCUUGGUGCCUUCGGGACCUCUGAGACAGGUGCUGCAUGGCUGUCGUCAGCUCGUGUUGUGAAAUGUUGGUUAAGUCCCGCAACGAGCGCAACCCCUAUCCUUUGUUGCCAGCGAUUCGGUCGGGAACUCAAAGGAGACUGCCGGUGAUAAACCGGAGGAAGGUGGGGAUGACGUCAAGUCAUCAUGGCCCUUACGAGUAGGGCUACACACGUGCUACAAUGGCGCAUACAAAGAGAAGCGACCUCGCGAGAGCAAGCGGACCUCAUAAAGUGCGUCGUAGUCCGGAUCGGAGUCUGCAACUCGACUCCGUGAAGUCGGAAUCGCUAGUAAUCGUAGAUCAGAAUGCUACGGUGAAUACGUUCCCGGGCCUUGUACACACCGCCCGUCACACCAUGGGAGUGGGUUGCAAAAGAAGUAGAUAGCUUAACCUUCGGGAGGGCGUUUACCACUUUGUGAUUCAUGACUGGGGUGAAGUCGUAACAAGGUAGGCGUAGCGAG
rnacentral:rRNA from 1 species